UUUCUAUUCUCUCCGUCCGAAAAUACUUGUCAUCAAAAUGGAUAAAAAGAGAUGUAUCUAAAACUAAAAUACGUCUAGAUACAUUUCCUUUUAUCCAUUUUGAUGACAAGUAUUUCCGCACGGAGGGAGUAUUUG
rfam:Triticum aestivum genome assembly, contig: Triticum_aestivum_CS42_TGACv1_scaffold_640719_T_1AS-0.138226_3AS-0.098442